GGUUCGCCGCCGCCGACGUCGCGAGAAGUCCACUGAACCUUAUCAUUUAGAGGAAGGAGAAGUCG
rnacentral:rRNA from 2 species